rnacentral:rRNA from 1 species
AUGGAUUCCGGGAGCACGGAGAUCCUCGUUGAAAACGGCUGCUUCCGACUAUACAAGGACGGCCACAUCGACCGUCUCGGAGGCACGGACCACGUGCCCGCCGGCUUCGACGCCGACACCGGCGUCACCUCCAAAGACGUCGUAAUCGACGCCGUCACCGGCGUCGCCGUUCGCCUCUACCUGCCAGACGUCCAUGCCGCUGAAUCCGACGGCCCCGACAUCAGUACAGCCGCAGUCACGAAGCUCCCGGUCGUCGUCUUCUUCCACGGCGGUUACUUCAUCGUCGGAUCAGCCGGCUGCCCUAAGCACCACCGCUACGUGAACUCGCUGGCCGCCGACGCCCGCGCCAUCGUCGUCUCCGUCGACUACCGCCUCGCGCCCGAGCACCUGCUCCCGGCGGCCUACGACGACUCCUGGGCCGCGCUCAACUGGGCGGUGUCCGGCGCCGACCCGUGGCUGUCCGAGCACGGCGAACUCGGCCGCGUCUUCCUGGCCGGCGCCAGCGCCGGCGGGAACAUAGCCCACAACAUGGCCAUCGCGGCCGGCGCGAGUGGCCUCUUCGCCGCGGCGACACGCCUAGAGGGCGCGGUCUUGCUCCACCCGUCGUUCAGCGGCGAGCAGAGGAUCGAGACGGAGUCAGAGGAGUACAGGGCGAGCGUCAAGAUGAGGUGCUCCGUGAUCUUCCCCGGCGCGAGAGGCGGGCUGGACGACCCGAGGAUGAACCCGACGGCCGACGGCGCGCCGAGCCUGCGGACGCUCCCGUGCGAGAGGAUGCUGGUGUGCGCGGCGUCGGAGGACGCGAGGCUGCCGAGGGUGCGGGCGUACUACGACGCCGUGAAGUCCAGCAGGUGGUCUGGGCAAGUGGAGUGGUUCGAGUCGGAAGGCAAGGGGCACGCCUUCUUCGUCGACGAGCAUGGCUGCCGCGAGGCGGUUGCGCUCAUGGAACGAGUGGCUGGUUUCAUCGCCGGCCAUUGA